rnacentral:rRNA from 1 species
UACGUAGGGGGCAAGCGUUGUCCGGAAUCAUUGGGCGUAAAGCGCGUGUAGGCGGCUCAGUAAGUCCGCUCUGAAAGCCCGGGGCUUAACCCCGGGAGGCGGGUGGAUACUGCUGAGCUCGAGUCCGGAAGAGGCGAGUGGAAUUCCCGGUGUAGCGGUGAAAUGCGCAGAUAUCGGGAGGAACACCAAUGGCGAAGGCAGCUCGCUGGGACGUGACUGACGCUGAGA